ensembl:snRNA U6 U6 spliceosomal RNA
AUGCUUACAUUCAGUAUGUAUUUUAAAAUUUGAAUGAUACAAAGAUUAGCAUGACUCCUGGGUAAAAGAUGACAUGGAAAUUCAUAAAAAGAUUUUCUUAAUC